AGGCCCACCAAACCUCGAUGGAUAGGGGUUCUGAGAGGAAGGUCCCCCCACAUUGGAACUGAGACACGGCCAAACUCCUACGGGAGGCAGCAUG
rnacentral:rRNA from 1 species